rnacentral:rRNA from 1 species
GACGGAGGAUGCAAGUGUUAUCCGGAAUCACUGGGCGUAAAGCGUCUGUAGGUGGUUUAAUAAGUCAACUGUUAAAUCUUGAGGCUCAACCUCAAAAUCGCAGUCGAAACUAUUAGGCUAGAGUAUAGUAGGGGUAAAGGGAAUUUCCAGUGGAGCGGUGAAAUGCGUAGAUAUCGAGAGGAACACCUGCGGCGAAGGCGGGUUGUGGCUGGACACUGAGCUGAUGUGCGAAAGCUAGGGGAGCGAACGGG